GUGAGGAAUUUUCCGCAAUGGGCGAAAGCCUGACGGAGCAAUGCCGCGUGAAGGAUGAAGGCCUAUGGGUUGUAAACUUCUUUUCUCAGAAAAGAAUUAUGACGGUAUCUGAGGAAUAAGCAUCGGCUAACUCUGUGCCAGCAGCCGCGGUAAGACAGAGGAUGCAAGCGUUAUCCGGAAUGAUUGGGCGUAAAGCGUCUGUAGGUUGUUUAAAAAGUAUUCUGUCAAAGAUUAGGGCUUAACCCUAGAUAGGCAGAAUAAACUUUUAAGCUAGAGUUUGGUAGAGGCAGAGGGAAUUCCCGGUGGAGCGGUGAAAUGCGUAGAUAUCGGGAGGAACACCAAAGGCGAAGGCACUCUGCUGGGCCAAUACUAACACUGAGAGGCGAAAGCGAGGGGAGCAAAUGGGAUUAGAAACCCUUGUAGUCC
rnacentral:rRNA from 1 species